GACGAACGCUGGCGGCGUGCCUAAUACAUGCAAGUCGAGCGAGCGGAACCAACAGAUUUACUUCGGUAAUGACGUUGGGAAAGCGAGCGGCGGAUGGGUGAGUAACACGUGGGGAACCUGCCCCUAAGUCUGGGAUACCAUUUGGAAACAGGUGCUAAUACCGGAUAAUAAAGCAGAUCGCAUGAUCAGCUUUUGAAAGGCGGCGUAAGCUGUCGCUAAGGGAUGGCCCCGCGGUGCAUUAGCUUGUUGGCGGGGCAACGGCCCACCAAGGCGACGAUGCGUAGCCGGCCUGAGAGGGCGACGGCCACACUGGGACUGAGACACGGCCCAG
rnacentral:rRNA from 1 species